UACAUGGGGUGCAAACGUUGCUCGGAAUUAUUGGGCGUAAAGCGCACGUAGGCGGUUUGUUAAGUCGGAUGUGAAAUCCCUCGGCUCAACUGAGGAAGUGCACCCGAAACUGGCAAGCUUGAGUACGAAAGAGGGUCGCGGAAUUCCCGGUGUAGAGGUGAAAUUCGUAGAUAUCGGGAGGAACACCAGUGGCGAAGGCGGCGACCUGGACGGACACUGACGCUGAGACGCGAAAGCGUGGGGAGCAAACAGG
rnacentral:rRNA from 1 species